rnacentral:tRNA from 1 species
UGGCGGGUAGCUCAGUGGUUAGAGCAGCAGUCUUAUAAACUGCAGGUCGUGGGUUCGAUUCCCAUCCCGCCUA